rnacentral:lncRNA from 1 species
CUAACAUCCGGAUAGGUCGAAUAUUUGCAAGAUAAUAUUCAAGAACUUAUAUAUAUGAUUACCGCAUAAUUCAUUUUUUUGACCCUGAAUGCUUUAGGACGGUCUAGGGUUAAACUGUCAACCCUGAAGAAUCAUCUACAUUGUAUUCCAAUCUUUCAAAUCCAUCACAUAGAUUAUCCUGAUCAAAAUUUUACUAAAUUGAAAUACAGUGAUACAUCAGCUUCUAUAAUUC